AUACGGAGGGUGCGAGCGUUACUCGGAGUCACUGGGCGUAAGGCGUCCGUAGGCGGUCGGGUAAGUCGGGUGUGAAAGCCCCGGGCUCAACCUGGGAAGUGCACCCGAUACUGCUCGACUCGAGUGCGGGAGAGGAUGGCGGAAUUCCCGGUGUAGCGGUGAAAUGCGUAGAGAUCGGGAGGAACACCAGUGGCGAAGGCGGCCAUCUGGCCCGCAACUGACGCUGAGGGACGAAAGCGUGGGGAGCAAACAGGAUUAGAAACCCUAGUAGUCC
rnacentral:rRNA from 1 species